UGUGUCCAGUAUAAAUACAGGGCCAGGCCAGCUGAUCGGCAUCAGUUCGCAGCUCCAACAGCCGCUACAUCAUGAAGGCUUUCGUUUGCUCUUUCCUCGUAGUCCUGCUGGUGGCGGCCGUGUUGGCCCAGGAGAAGGCCAAGGAGACCCUGAAGGGCGCCGAGGCCUACUACGCCUACGCCGCCCCCUACGCCUACAGCGCCUUCGGCUACCCCGCCGUCAGCGCCUACUCCGCCUACCCUUACGCUGCCGUCGGCUACCCCUACUACUACCGCUGAACAGGGACGUUACAGUGGGGAAGUCAUCUAUGUAAUCAACGCCUUCACAAUAAAUAAAAUUUGUAUUUAACAAAAUUAAA